rnacentral:rRNA from 1 species
CUACGGGAGGCUCCAGUGAGGAAUAUUGCACAAUGGGGGGAACCCUGAUGCAGCAACGCCGCGUGGAGGAUGACGCAUUUCGGUGUGUAAACUCCUUUUAUAUGUCAAGAAAAUGACGGUAGCAUAUGAAUAAGCACCGGCUAACUCCGUGCCAGCAGCCGCGGUAAUACGGAGGGUGCAAGCGUUACUCGGAAUCACUGGGCGUAAAGGAAGCGUAGGCGGGUUGGAAAGUCAGGUGUGAAAUCCUACAGCUUAACUGUAGAACUGCACUUGAAACUUCUAAUCUAGAGUAUGGGAGGGGGAGAUGGAAUUAGUGGUGUAGGGGUAAAAUCCGUAGAUAUCACUAGGAAUACCUAAAGCGAAGGCGAUCUCCUGGAACAUUACUGACGCUAAGGCGUGAAAGCGUGGGGAGCAAACAGGAUUAGAAUACCCCUGUAGUC